ACCUUAUUGUUGUUCUUUUUACACCUGAGAGCCACAGGAUCCUAGGAUGCUGCCCUGAUAUUCGGGCAUGGCUGGCCCCAAGGAAAGAUGAUCAAGUGUCAUGUGGAGUUGGUCAUUAAGUAGCCCAGCUGGCAGCAUCAUCAAAAGGCACUUUAUGAGGUAAGGUUGGCUUUCAUGACAUCAGCACUGAGGAGCAGGUGAGCUAGGGCCACUGAAGAUGACUAAGUGCGAGAACCACAGGCCACUUAAUGUGUGACCUAUCAUCUCCAAAAGGAGUCCCAUGUCACUCUUGGAUUUAUAGAGAAUAGAGGCAAGCAGUUCUAAGAGCCUUAGUCUUGAUUUCAGGAACUCAGUUUAACAGAGGGCACAAAGGGAACAAACACUAAGAACACUCUCAGAGUUAGCCUUUCUCCUCAUUCUCAUGAGCUGAAUGCAUGGUAGACUUGCCUGAUAGUGAAUUUAGAAAAUAUAAACAGAUUGCAGCCCCUCCAUCUUCCCACUGCUAGUGGAUACACUUGUUUUGUUUUGUUUUUUGUUUGUUUUUUGUUUUUUUCUGCAUUCAGCAUCCUCCCAGAAUAAAGACACACACAUCCUACAAUUAGCCCUUUCUGUGCACCGGCGAUCCUAAGUCCUGGUGCCUGCUUCUCUUGCGGGGUCUUACCUCUUCUGGUCACCUCAAUUCGCUCCUCCUCUCCACUGAAUUAUUUUAGUCAUUCAAUGUAAUUUCAAUGCUUCUAUUGUUUAAAGAGACCCCUACUUCUAAGUUAUUCACUUAUUUUCUUUUACACUGGAGAGCUAAAUUUCUCAAAACAUACCCACAUGCUACAGCUCCAACCAAAUGCAUGUGUUCCUUCCAACAUUCAUAGGUAAAUCUACAUGUCCAAAAGAAAAGUUAUUUUCAGUUCUGGCUCUACUUCCUCUCUGAGCAUUCCUCCUGCUGUUCUUCUUGCUCUGACAAUUUCACAGCUACCACCUUCCAGAGCAGUCUCCUCUCUCUCUCUCUCUCUCUCUCUCUCUCUCUCUCUCUCUCUCUCUCUCUCUCUCCAGGCUCUUCCAGUCAAUCAUAUUUAUUCACUCUUCAACCCCUUCAGGGGUCAGCUUCAGUCUUCCUUUUUCAUUUUUAAGAUUUAUUUUAUUUGCAUUGUAGUUUUGUUUGUACCUAUAUCUGUGUGUACUUGGUGCCCAAGAGGUCAACAGAGGGGCAUCAGAUCCCCUGGAAUUGGAGUUAGAGAUGGUUGUAAGCUACCAUGUGAAUCUUAGACUCUGAAUUCUGUUCCUGCAAAAGAAUAGUAAGUACUCAACUGCUGAGCCAGUCUAGCCCCUAGUCUGGUUUUGUAAUCCUACACUCGUUCAGAUUUCGGUAAUUACUAAUAACCAACAAAUGGACAUCCCAGCCGUGUCCUCUCUUCUUAGUCCCAAACUCAUACAUCUCAGCUCAGAUUACUUAAAUAUCCUGGUAACAUUUUAAUUUCUGGAAUGAAACUACUCCCUAUGGCAUCCAUUUCCCUCUUAGAAACCUGGUGUUCCCACUAAAAUAUGGGAGUCCUCGUUGGUCUCCUUGCUUACCCUUCCACAUCUCCAUGCUGACAAAGUAUGCCCCUCCCCCCCCCCCCCCACACACACACUUCAUCUCCAAGUCUGCUACCGAUCACUAGAUUCAUGGUACAGCUAAGCAACUAGUGUACUGCUCUGUGGAGGGCACCUUGAGAGAUCACCACUGGCCCAGUGCCACCCCUACAGCUGCUUCUUGUGCAACAUCAUCCCCCAUGAGGUGCCAGACACAUGUGGGCGCUUUAGUUCCACUGUAAGGUCAGACCACAGUCUCCCCCUACAGCCACACCUUCAUUCCAACCUGCUCCUUAGAGGCUUUCACGGGCCAUGGGUCUUAGAUGAAGAAUCUCCCUUGAGGUUUUCUCUAACGAAGGUUCUGAAUGUUGCCUCCCAUCACAACACACCGUGCUAUCAAAAUUUAAUACUAUCUGAUAAUUUUUUUUGACUUUUGCUAUCAUUUCCUCCUAAGACUAAGAGCCGGGUCUAUAGUUUUUGUUUGUGUGUUUGUUUGUUCAUUUGUUUGUUGUUUUGUUAUAAGUGUAUAUUUGUGUUUAGGCCAACUCCCAAUGAUGAGUUCUUGUAAGUCUGCUAACUUGUUUCCUCUUUGUAUUGCCUAAUGACUAGGCUUCCCACGGUAACAAUAAUCCCCCCUUUCCAUGCUGGGAAUUGCAAACACAGGUACAUUAAUAACUCCUGAGGUUCUAACAUGCCUCGGACCCUUGAUAUGCUCAUUUAGAUGUAGAGCUAGCCCUAGCACCGACUUUAGAACCUGCUACCUAACUCUAGGCAACUCUUUCUUAACCUCAAACUUCCUACCAGACAAUCAGAGAAAAUUUAGAGCAGAUUACACGCACAAAGUGCUGAUGGGCAAAAACAAUGCUGAGUGAUGUUGUUCCUUCUAAAGCCGUGCUGAAUCUUAAUCCUCAGUGGAGCACAUAUGGAGGCUCAGGAUGUGGGCGGUGACCUUUGUGAAUGAAAUUAACACCUUUAUCAAUGGGAUCAAGCUUGAAGCUAAUGCUUCUCCCGUUGUGAAAACAAGCAUCAGCUAGAACAGCAUCUAGCUCCCAUCUUGGAUGUAGAACAUUCCUCCCAGACAGCAGUGCUGCUGGUAAUUUGAUCUUGUGCUGCCAUAAAGUUUUGUGAGACUCAAAACUUUAUUCUUCACAAAUUACCCUGUCUCAGGCAUUUUUCAUAGUAGAAUGGAUGAAUACAUAAAGAUAUUCAAUAAAAAGUUCAUAAUUUCCUCUCAUGUCCCUAGACUCCAUGUUCUUUCUAUUUAACAGAAAUCCAUGCACAAAUAUGAAAGUGGGGUCCAUAUCUGCUCUACCUUUCUUGUUGAGACAGUCCCAUUAGAUAUUUUGCCUUCAAGAAAUGAGAUUCACCCCCCAGAAACAGCACCUCUAGCUUCAAAUCUAAUAUAACUAUAGCCCCGAAUAACUGGAGUUCAUGGCUGUACUGUACAGGAAUCGUCUUAGAUUUUGGAUGUUAAAAUAAAGGGGUGGAGCUGGAGGAGCUGGAGAGAUGGCUCAGUGGUUAAGAGCAUUUGUUGUUCUUGCAGAGGACCCAGGUUCAAUUCCCAGCAUCUGCAUGGUGGCUCACAACCAUCCAUCACUCCAGUUCGCAGGAAUUUGGUAUUCCUCUGAGGACACCGGACAUGCAUGCACUACACACACAUACAUUAGAGAAAACCAUUCACACAUAAAAAAAGAAAAGAAAAGAGGUGUAGGGGCUGCAGAAGUUUCUCAGCAGUUAACAGCACUCAAGGACCUAAGUUCAGUUCCCGGCACCCAGAUAAGAUAGCUGGCAACCACCUGGAAAUUCAGCUGCAGGGCGUUUGGAAACUUUUGCUCUCCUAGGGCACCUUCAAUCAGGUACACAUGCCUACACAUAGCCACACACCUUUCCACAUACACAUAAUUAAAAAUAAAGAAUAAAACAAAUCUUUUUUUUUUUUUUUUUUUUUUUUUUGAGAAAGGCAGUUCCAUGUUUGACAAUGGAGAAGGCAUUAAAAAGAAACAGCAGCAGAUGGCAGCAGCAGAUGCUAGUGAUGUGCUCAGCCGCAACCUGAGCCCCGGAGAUGCCAAAAGUACUCAGAUUCAAGUCCAGAGAGACAGUCUUCUGUACAAAAGAUAGCGUCCUUUAAUAAUAAAUAAUUUCGGCUUCGCAACGUAAGGCAGGAUUUUUACAAACACUUCAUAUGUUACCAGCAGAAUCCUAAGACAGCCGAUCCCUAGCCUUACUUAGAGAAGGUCAUUAGGCAAAGAGUGAAUUUGGGUUUAUAAUUACGUGCUCAACUAUCAUCCUGUGCUUCAAGGAACUGGAAGAGGUCUCACGCUAAAGACCGUAACAAUCAGCUUCC
rnacentral:lncRNA from 1 species